CUUAUGGGUCACAGACCACGGUAAAGAGGGAAAGCUCCCCGGAAUAAAUAGAUCGUUGGAGGAACUUAUUUUUGUUGCAGCAGCACAAAAGCACUGUGGACACGUUAGCCUUGAGAUGUUGAAAAGACAGAUACUUACAGACCCACACUCUCCAGACCACGUGAGAAUUAAUGGCGCCAUGUCCCAGCUACAGGUGUUUGCAGAGACGUUCAGGUGCCCCCCAGGAUCUAACAUGAACCCCCUAGAUA